GCCGCGGUCGCUGUAGUGGGUCAGCGCACCACUCCGGAAAAGAUGAGACCCGAUGGUUCGACUCCCGGCCAUGGCU